UUUGGAUAUAAGCCUAGCAAUGGAAUCUCUGGAUCUAAAGCCUAGAAAUGGAAGGAAUAUUGAAAAUAAUGGCCAUUACAACAUUCGAAAGAAUUUCAUGGCAAGCAAAAGCAUGAGCUGACAGACCAACUUAAUGACUGGGUAGAGCCACUGUUGAACUACUUUAUA